rnacentral:rRNA from 1 species
GACGAACGCUGGCGGCGUGCUUAACACAUGCAAGUCGAACGGAAAGGCCCUGCUUGCAGGGUACUCGAGUGGCGAACGGGUGAGUAACACGUGGGUGAUCUGCCCUUCACUUCGGGAUAAGCCUGGGAAACUGGGUCUAAUACCGGAUAGGAGCCAUUUUUAGUGUGAUGGUUGGAAAGUUUUUUCGGUGUAGGAUGAGCUCACGGCCUAUCAGCUUGUUGGUGGGGUAAUGGCCUACCAAGGCGGCGACGGGUAGCCGGCCUGAGAGGGUGGACGGCGACAAGAGGACUGAGAGACGGACCAGAAGCGUAUGGGAGGCAGCAGAGGGGAGUAUGGCACAAUGGGGGCAAGUGAGAGGAAGCGAUGCCGCGUGGGUGAUGACGGGCUGUAGGUGGUGAACGACUGUGGGUAGGGAAGAAUCAUUUUGUGACGGUACCUAGAUAAGAAGCACCGGCUAACUACGUG